rnacentral:rRNA from 1 species
UACGUAGGGGGCUAGCGUUGUCCGGAUUUAUUGGGCGUAAAGAGCGUGUAGGCGGCCAGGUAGGUCGGUUGUGAAAACUGGAGGCUCAACCUCCAGACGUCGACCGAAACCAUCUGGCUAGAGUCCGGAAGAGGAGAGUGGAAUUCCUGGUGUAGCGGUGAAAUGCGCAGAUAUCAGGAAGAACACCCGUGGCGAAAGCGGCUCUCUGGGACGGUACUGACGCUGAGACGCGAAAGCGUGGGGAGCGAACAGG